rnacentral:rRNA from 1 species
GGGUUGUGAGGUUAAGCGACUAAGCGUACACGGUGGAUGCCCUGGCAGUCAGAGGCGAUGAAGGGCGUGCUAAUCUGCGAUAAGCGCCGGUAAGGUGAUAUGAACCGUUAUAACCGGCGAUACCCGAAUGGGGAAACCCAGUGUGACUCGUCACACUAUCAUUAACUGAAUCCAUAGGUUAAUGAGGCGAACCGGGGGAACUGAAACAUCUAAGUACCCCGAGGAAAAGAAAUCAACCGAGAUUCCCCCAGUAGCGGCGAGCGAACGGGGAGGAGCCCAGAGCCUGAAUCAGCAUGUGUGUUAGUGGAAGCGUCUGGAAAGGCGCGCGAUACAGGGUGACAGCCCCGUACACAAAAGCGUAUGUGCUGUGAGCUCGAUGAGUAGGGCGGGACACGUGGUAUCCUGUCUGAAUAUGGGGGGACCAUCCUCCAAGGCUAAAUACUCCUGACUGACCGAUAGUGAACCAGUACCGUGAGGGAAAGGCGAAAAGAACCCCGGCGAGGGGAGUGAAAAAGAACCUGAAACCGUGUACGUACAAGCAGUGGGAGCCCCACCACUAAGCCAGUGGUGAACUCCACAUACGCAUCCUUUGCUGAGGAUACGGUUAACGGAGCGAAAGCGACGUUCAACCGCAAAAGAAGCAGAGGGGGC